UGCAAGUCGAACGAUCCCUUCGGGGAUAGUGGCAGACGGGUGAGUAACGCGUGGGAACCUACCUUUAGGUACGGAACAACAGUUGGAAACGACUGCUAAUACCGUAUGUGCCCUAUGGGGGAAAGAUUUAUCGCCUAAGGAUGGGCCCGCGUUGGAUUAGCUAGUUGGUGGGGUAAUGGCCUACCAAGGCGACGAUCCAUAGCUGGUCUGAGAGGAUGAUCAGCCACACUGGGACUGAGACACGGCCCAGACUCCUACGGGAGGCAGCAGUGGGGAAUAUUGGACAAUGGGGGCAACCCUGAUCCAGCCAUGCCGCGUGAGUGAUGAAGGCCCUAGGGUUGUAAAGCUCUUUCAGCGAGGAGGAUAAUGACGUUACUCGCAGAAGAAGCCCCGGCUAACUUCGUGCCAGCAGCCGCGGUAAUACGAAGGGGGCUAGCGUUGUUCGGAAUCACUGG
rnacentral:rRNA from 1 species